rnacentral:rRNA from 1 species
AACUUUCAACAAAGGAUCUCUUGGCUCUCACAUCGAUGAAGAACGCAGCGAAGCGCGAAAUGUAGUGUGAAUCGCAGAACUUAGUGAAUCAUCGAAUCUUUGAACGCA